rnacentral:rRNA from 1 species
GAUGAACGCUGGCGGCGUGCCUAAUACAUGCAAGUCGAGCGAACGGACGAGAAGCUUGCUUCUCUGAUGUUAGCGGCGGACGGGUGAGUAACACGUGGAUAACCUACCUAUAAGACUGGGAUAACUUCGGAAAACCGGAGCUAAUACCGGAUAAUAUUUUGAACCGCAUGGUUCAAAAGUGAAAGACGGUCUUGCUGUCACUUAUAGAUGGAUCCGCGCUGCAUUAGCUAGUUGGUAAGGUAACGGCUUACCAAGGCAACGAUGCAUAGCCGACCUGAGAGGGUGAUCGGCCACACUGGAACUGAGACACGGUCCAGACUCCUACGGGAGGCAGCAGUAGGGAAUCUUCCGCAAUGGGCGAAAGCCUGACGGAGCAACGCCGCGUGAGUGAUGAAGGUCUUCGGAUCGUAAAACUCUGUUAUUAGGGAAGAACAUAUGUGUAAGUAACUGUGCGCAUCUUGACGGUACCUAAUCAGAAAGCCACGGCUAACUACGUG